AAUCAACGCUGGCGGCGUGCCUCAGACAUGCAAGUCGAACGAUUAAAGCUCUCUUCGGAGAGUGCAUAAAGUGGCGCACGGGUGAGUAACACGUAAGUAAUCUACCUUCGAGUGGGGAAUAACGUCCGGAAACGGACGCUAAUACCGCAUAAUGCAGCGGCAUCGCAAGAUGACAGUUGUUAAAGGAGCAAUUCGCUUGAAGAGGAGCUUGCGGCAGAUUAGCUUGUUGGUAAGGUAACGGCUUACCAAGGCUACGAUCUGUAACCGGUCUAAGAGGACGGUCGGUCACACUGACACUGAAUAACGGGUCAGACUCCUACGGGAGGCAGCAGUCGGGAAUUUUGGGCAAUGGGGGAAACCCUGACCCAGCAACGCCGCGUGAAGGAUGAAGUAUUUCGGUAUGUAAACUU
rnacentral:rRNA from 1 species